rnacentral:rRNA from 1 species
GACUACCGGGGUAUCUAAGCCUGUUUGCUCCCCACGCUUUCGCGCCUCAGCGUCAGUACUGUUCCAGAAGAUCGCCUUCGCUUUUGGUAUUCCUAGUGAUCUCUACGGAUUUUACCCCUACACCACUAAUUCCAUCUUCCCCUCCCAGACUCUAGCUAAGUAGUUUUGGAUGCAGUUCUAUGGUUGAGCCAUAGGAUUUCACAUCCAACUUACAAAGCCGCCUGCGCGCGCUUUACGCCCAGUGAUUCCGAGUAACGCUUGCACCCUCCGUAUUACCGCGGCUGCUGGCACGGAGUUAGCCGGUGCUUAUUCAUGUGAUACCGUCAUUAUCUUCUCACAUAAAAGGAGUUUACGCACCGAAAUGUGUCAUCCUCCACGCGGCGUUGCUACAUCAGAGUUUCCUCCAUUGUGCAAUAUUCCCCACUGCAGCCCCCCGUAGG